UACGAAGGGGGCUAGCGUUGUUCGGAAUUACUGGGCGUAACGGGCGCGUAGGUGGUUGAUUAAGUUGGAUGUGAAAUCCCUGGGCUUAACCUAGGAACUGCAUUCAAUACUGGUCAACUUGAGUAUGGGAGAGGGUAGUGGAAUUCCCGGUGUAGCGGUGAAAUGCGUAGAUAUCGGAAGGAACAUCAGUGGCGAAGGCGACUGCCUGGCCCAAUACUGACACUGAGGCGCGAAAGCGUGGGUAGCGAACAGG
rnacentral:rRNA from 1 species